rnacentral:rRNA from 1 species
CCUACGGGAGACAGCAGUUAGGAAUAUUGGUCAAUGGUCGGGAGACUGAACCAGCCAAGCCGCGUGAGGGAUGAAGGUACAGAGUAUCGUAAACCUCUUUUUUCAGGGAACAAAGGCGGGGACGUGUCCCCGGAUGAGUGUACCUGAAGAAAAAGCAUCUGCUAACUCCGUGCCAGCAGCCGCGGUAAUACGGAGGAGGCGAGCGUUAUCCGGAUUUAUUGGGUUUAACGGGUGCGCAGGCGGUCUGGUAAGUCAGCGGUCAAAGACCGGGGCGCACCCCCGGCCCGCCGUUGAAACUGGCAGUCGCGAGUUGGAGAGAAGUAUGCGGAAUGCGCGGUGUAGCGGUGAAAUGCAUAGAUAUCGCGCAGAAAUCCGAUUGCGAAGGCAGCAUGCCGGCUCCACACUGACGCUGAGGCACGAAAGCGUGGGUAUCGAACAGGAGUAGAUACCCGAGUAGUC